UGUGUAGGCGGUUUUCUGAGUUUGGUGUGAAAUCUCCCGGCUCAACCGGGAGGGUGCGCCGAAAACUGGGAGACUAGAGUGCGGGAUGGGAGAGUAGAAUUCCUGGUGUAGCGGUGAAAUGCGUAGAUAUCAGGAGGAAUACCGGUGGUGUAGACGGCUCUCUGGACCGCCACUGACGCUGAGACACGAAAGCGUGGGUAAGCAAACA
rnacentral:rRNA from 1 species